AAAUUGAAGAGUUUGAUCAUGGCUCAGAUUGAACGCUGGCGGCAGGCCUAACACAUGCAAGUCGAGCGGUAGCACAGAAGAGCUUGCUCUUCGGGUGACGAGCGGCGGACGGGUGAGUAAUGUCUGGGAAACUGCCUGAUGGAGGGGGAUAACUACUGGAAACGGUAGCUAAUACCGCAUAACGUCUUCGGACCAAAGAGGGGGACCUUCGGGCCUCUUGCCAUCGGAUGUGCCCAGAUGGGAUUAGCUAGUAGGUGAGGUAAUGGCUCACCUAGGCGACGAUCCCUAGCUGGUCUGAGAGGAUGACCAGCCACACUGGAACUGAGACACGGUCCAGACUCCUACGGGAGGCAGCAGUGGGGAAUAUUGCACAAUGGGCGCAAGCCUGAUGCAGCCAUGCCGCGUGUGUGAAGAAGGCCUUCGGGUUGUAAAGCACUUUCAGCGGGGAGGAAGGCGAUAAGGUUAAUAACCUUGUCGAUUGACGUUACCCGCAGAAGAAGCACCGGCUAACUCCGUGCCAGCAGCCGCGGUAAUACGGAGGGUGCAAGCGUUAAUCGGAAUGACUGGGCGUAAAGCGCACGCAGGCGGUCUGUUAAGUUGGAUGUGAAAUCCCCGGGCUUAACCUGGGAACUGCAUUCAAAACUGACAGGCUAGAGUCUUGUAGAGGGGGGUAGAAUUCCAGGUGUAGCGGUGAAAUGCGUAGAGAUCUGGAGGAAUACCGGUGGCGAAGGCGGCCCCCUGGACAAAGACUGACGCUCAGGUGCGAAAGCGUGGGGAGCAAACAGGAUUAGAUACCCUGGUAGUCCACGCUGUAAACGAUGUCGACUUGGAGGUUGUGCCCUUGAGGCGUGGCUUCCGGAGCUAACGCGUUAAGUCGACCGCCUGGGGAGUACGGCCGCAAGGUUAAAACUCAAAUGAAUUGACGGGGGCCCGCACAAGCGGUGGAGCAUGUGGUUUAAUUCGAUGCAACGCGAAGAACCUUACCUACUCUUGACAUCCACAGAAUUUGGUAGAGAUACCUUAGUGCCUUCGGGAACUGUGAGACAGGUGCUGCAUGGCUGUCGUCAGCUCGUGUUGUGAAAUGUUGGGUUAAGUCCCGCAACGAGCGCAACCCUUAUCCUUUGUUGCCAGCACGUAAUGGUGGGAACUCAAAGGAGACUGCCGGUGAUAAACCGGAGGAAGGUGGGGAUGACGUCAAGUCAUCAUGGCCCUUACGAGUAGGGCUACACACGUGCUACAAUGGCGUAUACAAAGAGAAGCGACCUCGCGAGAGCAAGCGGACCUCAUAAAGUACGUCGUAGUCCGGAUUGGAGUCUGCAACUCGACUCCAUGAAGUCGGAAUCGCUAGUAAUCGUAGAUCAGAAUGCUACGGUGAAUACGUUCCCGGGCCUUGUACACACCGCCCGUCACACCAUGGGAGUGGGUUGCAAAAGAAGUAGGUAGCUUAACCUUCGGGAGGGCGCUUACCACUUUGUGAUUCAUGACUGGGGUGAAGUCGUAACAAGGUAACCGUAGGGGAACCUGCGGUUGGAUCACCUCCUUACC
rnacentral:rRNA from 1 species